GGGCCGGUGGUCUAGUGGUUAUGACGCCACGCUUACACCGUGGAGGUCGCAGGUUCGAUCCCUGCCCGGCCCA
rnacentral:tRNA from 1 species